UACGUAGGAGGCAAGCGUUGUCCGGAAUUACUGGGCGUAAAGCGCGUGUAGGUGGUGGGACAAGUCUGCUGUGAAAGCGCCUGGCUUAACCGGGCGAGGUCGGCGGAAACUGUCCGACUAGAGGACGGUAGAGGGGGUGGAAUUCCCGGUGUAGUGGUGAAAUGCGUAGAGAUCGGAAAGAACACCAACGGCGAAAGCACUCUGCUGGGCCGACACUGACACUGAGAGACGAAAGCUAGGGGAGCGAAUGGG
rnacentral:rRNA from 1 species